UUUAAAAAUUAAUAAAUUUAUAUCUAAUAAAAAUAAUUUUAAUUUAAUAAAUAUUUUAAUGGGGGUUAAAGUAUUUUUUAAAGAAAAAAUUUUUAAUUUUAUAGUAUAUUAGUAUUGUGGGAGAAUUUUGAAAUAGUUGAAAAUUUAUUUUUAAUAAAGUAGUUUUUAUUUAUCGUAUCUUGUGUAUCAGAGUUUAUUAAAAAUUUUUAAUUUUUAAUUUCUCGAAUUUAAAAGAGUUAAAUAAUUAUUAAAGUUAUUGUUGCAAAAAUAUUUUAAAUAAUUAUUUAGAAGUGAAAUGUUAAUCGUUUUUAAAUAUAUCUAGUUUUUAUAGAAAAAAUUUUAAUUUUAAAUUUAAUUUUAUUAUUAAUUAAUUAGUUAAUUGAAUAAUUAUUUAAAUUUUAUAUUUUGAGGGAUAAGCUUUAAAUUAAAUUUUUAUAAUAAAAAAUAUUUAUUUUUGAGAAUUUUAUAAUUUGUAUUGUUAAUAAAUUUAAUUUUAUUAUAAAUAAUUUCAUUUUAUUAAAAAAUUUAAAUUUUUAUUUAAUUUUUUAUAUAAAAUUUAUUUUUAAUAAUUAAAAAUUAGUUAUAAUGAUAAAAUUAGUAUAUUUAUAAUUUUUAUUAUUUAAUUUAAUUAAUUAAAAGGAAUUCGGCAAAUAUUUAUUUUCACUUGUUUAUCAAAAACAUGUCUUUUUGUUUAUUUAAAGUCUAAUCUGCCCACUGAAAUUGAAGGGCUGCAGUAUUUUGACUGUACAAAGGUAGCAUAAUCAUUAGUCUCUUAAUUGGUGACUUGUAUGAAAGAUUGGAUGAGAAAUAUACUGUCUCUUAGUUAAUAUAUAGAAUUUAAUUUUUUAUUUAAAAAGUUAAAAUGAGUUAAAAAGACGAGAAGACCCUAUAGAGUUUAAUAAAAAUGAUUUUAUGAAUUUAUUUAUUUUAUUGGGGUGAUAGAAAAAUAAAUUUAACUUUUUUUAAAAAAUUUAACAAAAAUAUAUGAUUAAAUGAUCCAGUUUAUUAUUGAUUAAAAGAUUAAAUUACCUUAGGGAUAACAGCGUAAUUUUUUUUUUUAGUUCGAAUAAUAAGAAAAGUUUGCGACCUCGAUGUUGGAUUAAGAUAAAAUUUAAAUGCAAAAGUUUAAAAUUUUUGAUCUGUUCGAUCAUUAAAAUCU
rnacentral:rRNA from 1 species